GAAAUGCGAUAAGUAAUGUGAAUUGCAGAAUUCAGUGAAUCAUCGAAUCUUUGAACGCACAUUGCGCCCGCCAGUAUUCUGGCGAGCAUGCCUGUUCGAGCGUCAUUACAACCCUCAGGCCCCCGGGCCUGGCGUUGGGGAUCGGCGGAAGCCCCCUGCGGGCACAACGCCGUCCCCCAAAUACAGUGGCGGUCCCGCCGCAGCUUCCAUUGCGUAGUAGCUAACACCUCGCAACUGGAGAGCGGCGCGGCCACGCCGUAAAACACCCAACUUCUGAAUGUUGACCUCGAAUCAGGUAGGAAUACCCGCUGAACUUAAGC
rnacentral:misc_RNA from 1 species